UACGUAGGGUCCAAGCGUUUAUCCGGAAUCACUGGGCGUAAAGCGUGCGUAGGCGGCGUGUUUAAGUGAGAUGUUAAAUCGUGUGGCUCAACCAUAUCGAUGCAUUUCAUACUGGCAUGCUAGAGGAAGGCAGAGGCAAGUGGAAUUGGCAGUGUAGCAGUGAAAUGCGUAGAGAUGCCAGGAACACCAAUGGCGAAGGCAGCUUGCUGGGCCUUUUUCUGACGCUGAGGUACGAAAAGCGUGGGGGAGCGAACAGGG
rnacentral:rRNA from 1 species